AUCCCAUAAAACCGUUCUCAGUUCGGAUUGUAGGCUGCAACUCGCCUACAUGAAGCUGGAAUCGCUAGUAAUCGCGGAUCAGCAUGCCGCGGUGAAUACGUUCCCGGGCCUUGUACACACCGCCCGUCACACCACGAGAGUUUGUAACACCCGAAGUCGGUGAGGUAACCUUUUGGAGCCAGCCGCCUAAGGUGGGACAGAUGAUUGGGGUGAAGUCGUAACAAGGUAGCCGUAUCGGAAGGUGCGGCUGGAUCACCUCCUUUCUAAGGAA
rnacentral:rRNA from 1 species